AAAUUGACAUCAUUGAAGUUAUUAAUUCAACAAGCCAACAGUUAUCUGGAUUAUUAAAGUAACCAAACAAUUUGGUUAAUGCUGAAUUCUUUGAUCACUAUUUCGUUUCUCCUAUUUUACACAUCCUUUGUCUUGUACUUUUUGAACACAAUACAUGCAUUCGACUAUAAGGUUCUUUUAGGAAAACAGCACAUUCAUUUAAAAGUUCAAAUAAACUUAC